GAGUUGUCGAGGAAGAAGUUGCAGAUAUUACAGCCGUAGAUCAUGCCGGAGCAGGGGCCGCCGCAGCCCGCGCAACUCUUUCCGCUGUAGUCCGCCUUCUUGCAUAUCACCAGCGAGUGCUUCGGGUGACUCAGGUAAAAUAUAGUUUCAAGGAUGUAUCCAUAAUAAAGAAAAAUUUCGAGGAGGAGAAUGCAAUUCUGAUCAUUUCUUCUAGAAUCUUAAGGAGUCCUUCAAACUUUUGAAGACCACAACCGAGAAAGCAUCUGAAAAGAAAAAAAAUUUAUAUAUAUAUAUAUAUAUAAACCAAAUUAAGAAUCAACUAUUCGGCAUUUCAUGCUGGACCGGGUCAUAGAGUUAUAUUGUGGUACAAAGCGGUCAAGGUGCAUUGUGGGACAGUCUAGACUUCAAGGUGCAAUGUAGAGCCAAGGGCAAUCACUCAUUAAUCUUCACACAUCGACGUAUUAAGGUUGUCACGAGCUACAAGGCAUGACCAAACCGCUAUCGAAUAGAUAGCAGCAGUCAUUGCUGAAGGGCAGAAGUGAAUUUACUAGACAAAUUGCACAACCGUUGAAAAGAACACCCCACACAACAAAGGGUUGAGAUCCACGAUACAAAACAGGGAACUGCAGAUGGAAUGCCAGGAAAAGAUCUUUUCUGGUAUCUACAUUGUUGAACAAAGCGAGAGUUACAGCAUACACGAUGUACGCUGCAUGAAUAGAAUGCAUGUAUGAACUAUACCACUCUUACAAACAACACUGGCAUUGGGCACUAUUAACUAUCUUCCGAUCGUGCAGCAAUGCCUUUCAUCGACUCAACAACUUGAAGGUUGCGCGAUCCCAUUGGCCAGAGAGAGCCCCAUCGUGCUGAAAAAAUAUGACCAUGAAGGAAACGUCACAUGAGCUCCUUUGCCAGUCUAAUCGGUUUUUCCUGCAAGAAUGCCACAUCACCAUUUGGUGAUUUCAGCAGGUGGUGAUCUGGGUCAUCCUCUCCGCUGUUGUCGCUCGCAAAUGAUCCACUUGAUUCCGAAAUAAUAUCUGCACUUGCACAACAUCAAAGCCGUAAUGACAGAGAGAAUUAGAACGAAGAAUGAAAAGUUGUUUUUGCACCUAAAACCUGUUAGUUUAGCUUCAGUCUCGUAUCAAAGAAUGGUAACGCCAUAUGUAUCAGAACCAUUCUCAUCUCAUUUCUUUGUUACCAUA